GCCAGGCUCAGUGGUGCGCUCCUGUAAUCCCAGCCACUCAGGAGGCUGAGGCAGGAGGAUUAAGAGUUCAAAAAACCACCCUCAGCAAUGGCGAGACUUUAAGCAACUCAGUGAGACCCUGUCUCCA
rnacentral:sRNA from 1 species